GUGCCAGCAGCCGCGGUAAUACGUAGGGUGCAAGCGUUAAUCGGAAUUACUGGGCGUAAAGUGUGCGCAGGCGGUUGAGCAAGUCGAGUGUGAAAGCCCCGGGCUUAACUUGGGAAUUGCGCUCUAAACUACUUGACUGGAGUGUGGCAGAGGAAGGUGGAAUUCCACGUGUAGCGGUGAAAUGCGCAGAGAUGUGGCGGAACACCGAUGGCGAAGGCAGCCCCCUGGGCUGAGACUGACGCUCAGGCACGAAAGCGUGGGGAGCAAACAGGAUUAGAUACCCGGGUAGUCC
rnacentral:rRNA from 1 species